rnacentral:rRNA from 1 species
CCUGACUGCUAUCGGAUUGAUACUAAGCCAUGCGAGUCAUUGCAGUAAUGCAGGGCAGACGGCUCAGUAACGCGUAGUCAACCUACCCUAUGGACGGGAAUAACCUCGGGAAACUGAGUAUAAUGCCCGAUAGAACACUAUACCUGGAAUGGUUUGUGUUCCAAAUGAAUGUCGCCGUAGGAUGGGACUGCGGCCUAUCAGUUUGUUGGUGAGGUAAUGGCCCACCAAGACUAUUACAGGUACGGGCUCUGAGAGGAGUAGCCCGGAGAUGGGUACUGAGACACGGACCCAGGCCCUAUGGGGCGCAGCAGGCGAGAAAACUUUGCAAUGUGCGAAAGCACGACAAGGUUAAUCCGAGUGGUUUGUGCUAAACGAACCUUUUGACAGUCCUAGAAACACUGUUGAAUAAGGGGUGGGCAAGUUCUGGUGUCAGCCGCCGCGGUAAAACCAGCACCUCAAGUGGUCAGGAUGAUUAUUGGGCCUAAAGCAUCCGUAGCCGGCUCUGUAAGUUUUCGGUUAAAUCUGUACGCUCAACGUACAGGCUGCCGGGAAUACUGCAGAGCUAGGGAGUGGGAGAGGUAGACGGUACUCGGUAGGAAGGGGUAAAAUCCUUUGAUCUAUUGAUGACCACCUGUGGCGAAGGCGGUCUACCAGAACACGUCCGACGGUGAGGGAUGAAAGCUGGGGGAGCAAACCGGAUUAGAUGCCCGGGUAGUCCCAGCUGUAACUAUGCAAACUCAGUGAUG